CCUCUUCGGAGGUACUCGAGUGGCGAACGGGUGAGUAACACGUGGGUAAUCUGCCCUGCACUUCGGGAUAAGCCUGGGAAACUGGGUCUAAUACCGAAUAUGACCACGAGACGCAUGUCUUGUGGUGGAAAGCUUUUGCGGUGUGGGAUGGGCCCGCGGCCUAUCAGCUUGUUGGUGGGGUGAUGGCCUACCAAGGCGACGACGGGUAGCCGGCCUGAGAGGGUGUCCGGCCACACUGGGACUGAGAUACGGCCCAGACUCCUACGGGAGGCAGCAGUGGGGAAUAUUGCACAAUGGGCGCAAGCCUGAUGCAGCGACGCCGCGUGGGGGAUGACGGCCUUCGGGUUGUAAACCUCUUUCAGCAGGGACGAAGCGCAAGUGACGGUACCUGCAGAAGAAGCACCGGCCAACUACGUGCCAGCAGCCGCGGUAAUACGUAGGGUGCGAGCGUUGUCCGGAAUUACUGGGCGUAAAGAGCUCGUAGGUGGUUUGUCGCGUUGUUCGUGAAA
rnacentral:rRNA from 1 species